GAUGAACGCUAGCGGCGGGCCUAAUACAUGCAAGUUGAACGGGAUUGUUGGUAGCAAUAUUGACAUGAGAGUGGCGCACGGGUGCGUAACACGUAUGUAACCUACCUUUAACUGGGGCAUAGCUUCGAGAAAUCGAAAUUAAUACCCCAUAACAUUUAGAAAAGGCAUCUUUUCUUUAUCAAAGCUCAGGCGGUUAAGGAUGGACAUGCGGUGCAUUAGCUUGUUGGUGAGGUAACGGCUCACCAAGGCUACGAUGCAUAGGGGGUCUGAGAGGAUGAUCCCCCACACUGGUACUGAGACACGGACCAGACUCCUACGGGAGGCAACAGUAGGGAAUAUUGGGCAAUGGACGAAAGUCUGACCCAGCCACGCCGCGUGAAGGAUGAAUGCCCUCUGGGUUGUAAACUUCUUUUUGUAUGGGAAGAAAAUUCCGAACGUGUUCGGAGCUGACGGUACCAUAAGAAUAAGCAUCGGCUAACUCCGUGCCAGCAGCCGCGGU
rnacentral:rRNA from 1 species